GAAGUGACUGAUAUAAAUACACUAAGUAUUUUAAAAUUUAACAUAAAUCUAUAUUAUACAAGGGUCGGCCCGCCCUACGAGUUGAAAUUUGUUUUAAGAUUCAAGAAUUUAGUUUUGUUAUGUGUUACUUAUUAGUAUGCUGUGGUAUUGUUGUUUUUCGAUUAUUUUUGCUUUGGCAUUGUAUCAAAUUAACUAAUUGUCCAACUCAUAAUUAGAGAUGUACAAAUGAGGAUUUGUGAUAAAGUUUGAUGAUAAUACUAUUUUUUUUUUUAAUUUUUAUUCAUAGUGGAGUGUGCAUGUAUCAGAAAGAGGCCUAUAACAACUUUUAUGUUUUUGCGUAUGGAUUUUAAAUAUAUAUUAUUUUGUAUAAUGCAUACUUGCUCUACAACAUUUGCUUGUAGACUAGAAAAAUUGUUUUCUCUAUUUUUAAAAGAGAAAAUUUUUAGUUUUGAAUAUAACAUGGACAUAUGUAUUGACUAUAUAUAGAAGUUGGGUGUUAUUUUAAAAUGACAUAUGUAUAGAGGUUUUUCAACCAUUACUUCACUGGCACAAAACAUUUAUAACUGUAAAUACCUUCUUUUAAAAGCAAAAUUAAUAAAAGCGUGUACAACAAACGUAUUUUGAUAUAUAUUAUAUGCAUCAAGUUAUAAAGGUUGGAAGUAUUGCAAAACUGUUUGGAGCAAAGUUUUUAACUUUACGAUCUUC
rnacentral:lncRNA from 1 species